GCCCGGGAUAGCUCAGUUGGUAGAGCAGAGGA
rnacentral:tRNA from 1 species